GGGCGUGUAGCUCAGAGGAAGAGUGCUCGUUUCGCAUGCUUCGCGCUUGAAGUCUACGAGAAGUCCGGGGUUCGAACCCCCGUUCGUCCA